rnacentral:lncRNA from 1 species
GAGUGUUGUGGCCUAUUUUUACACCCGUGGGUAUUCCUCUUCCAACUGGAACUUUGCGUUUCCAAUUUCAGCUCCUCACCAUUUAUUCUACACCACUGAUACGUCAACAGCGUCCACGUACGGUGAUGAUUGUGGUUGUUAUCUGUUGGACAUAUAGCUUUAAUCAGCUAAACAGAGGUGACCUUCCCCAGCCUGUCCUUUGAUAUUUGUGCUUGAUGCUUAUUGCUGCACUUUGUUACAUAUUCACAAAAUGUUCUUGCUGAAUAAAAAAAACAGGCAUCUCACACAUAACAGGGGGUGACUACAGCAAAUGUGUCACAGGAUCCCCAGAAUAACAAGCUGCACAAGUGCUGCCAUCAACUGGCUGCUCGGGGAUCACGCUGCACACAACGGUUCCCACACAUCAGUUGGAAAUAAAUAAUGAUAAUGAUAAAACUUUCAAUGCAGAUCCCGGUCACGCACACAAACGGAAGACGCCGAAGGCAGGGAGGGUGACAAGUGCUGGUGGAGCGACUGCACUGGGCCUGUGAAAGGCCUGUCAGAUGACAGGAGGGAGCCUGAGACAUCUGUUCAUUGGAUCAUCUCGGCAGCUCCUGGGAUGCGGUGCACUGCUACGUUCUCACAGGGUUUAUUUCACGAGUGAACUCUGCACCUGCAAGACUGAGCGUAGGGAUUUUUUAAAAAUUAGUGUUACUGUCCAGGUGUGCUGCAACUUUCUGAAAGAAGUAUCUGGGCCAUAAGUAAACAACAAGCCACAGAAUAUAAGAUGACAUAUUCUUUUAAUGCCAGCAGAUUUUGAUACCAGUGAAGUAAAACAGCAGCGAGUUAGGGGCUCCUCUAUCACUGGGGGAUAUUUUGGGAUUCUUUCCACAGCUGGUUAAUUUUCAACUCUAUGAAGCUGCCAUGUUAUACCACCCCUAGUGUGAACACGCCCGAGGACAUGACUUGUUCUCUUAUUCCCAGAAAAUCACUCCAUCCGUUUUUCCAGAUGAUUCUGUGAAGCAGCUUGACUUUUAAGUAUCAGGUUUCUGGCUGAAGAAAAGACGAAGGUUUACAAGAAGUCAAGGCUGUAAACUGCAUGUAAAAGAUUCAAGAUUUAAAAAGCUGCGUGAAUCCCACAGGGAAAUUUUUUUAGUUGUUGUUUGUUGAUUAUAGUGGCACAAGGUUAAAAUAUGUUGUUAGGAUUCCUCCUCUGGGAGUUAUAAAAACUAGAAUUGCCUGGGUUCGUAUGUAAAUGUGACUUAAAAUGUGAUUCAAUUUUCACAGAAGUCCUGAAACUCAAUAAAGGGAUGACAAUGAAACAAACCAUUUAAAAAAAAAGUCCCCAGAGGAUUUAUUGAUUUGAUUUGUUCAGAAAAACAGGAUGAAACAACAC